rnacentral:sRNA from 1 species
GCAAACUUGGAAAACUUGGAGAUGCAG